rnacentral:rRNA from 1 species
AUUGAACGCUGGCGGCAGGCCUAACACAUGCAAGUCGAGCGAGCGGCGGACGGGUGAGUAAUGUAUGGGGAUCUGCCUGAUGGAGGGGGAUUACUACUGGAAACGGUAGCUAAUACCGCAUACCAUCAGAUGAACCCAUAUGGGAUUAGCUAGUAGGUGGGGUAAUGGCUCACCUAGGCGACGAUCCCUAGCUGGUCUGAGAGGAUGAUCAGCCACACGGGAACUGAGACACGGCCCAGACUCCUACGGGAGGCAGCAGUGGGGAAUAUUGCACAAGGGGCGCAAGCCUGAUGCAGCCAUGCCGCGUGUAUGAAGAAGGCCUUCGGGUUGUAAAGUACUUUCAGCGGGGAGGCGUUACCCGCAGAAGAAGCACCGGCUAACUCCGUGCCAGCAGCCGCGGUAAUUC